GCCCAAGAGGCUCAGUGGUUUAGACCACAGUGCCACCCGCGACCCUAUAGCUCAAUCUCGGGGUCGUGGGUUCAAGUCCCACAUUGGGCA